rnacentral:rRNA from 1 species
GCAGUAUCCUAACUGUGCUAAGGUAGCAUAAUCAUUAGUCUUUUAAUUGGGGACUGGUAUGAAUGGCUUAACGAGAAAUUGACUUUUUUUGUUAUAUAAGUUGAAUUUAAUUUUUUAGUGAAAAAGCUAAAAUAAUUCAGAAAGACGAGAAGACCCUAUAGAGUUUUAUAUUUACAUUAUUUAUUUUUAUUAGAUUUUUGUCAAAAUAAGUAUAAAAAAAUAUUUUGUUGGGGCGACAUUUAGAUAAAAAAAACUCUUUAUUUUUAGAAUUUUGAUGAAAAUUUUAUUUGAUCCUUUAGAAAAGAUCAAAAGAAAAAAUUACCUUAGGGAUAACAGCGUAAUCUUUUUUGAGAGUUCUAAUCGACAAAAAGGUUUGCGACCUCGAUGUUGGACUAAAAUUUAGACAGGGUGCAGUAGUUCUGUUUUUAGGUCUGUUCGACCUAUA